UCUUUUUUCCUUUUCUUUUCUUCUUCCUAUUUCUCUUCUCCUCCCGUGCGCCGCGCAACCCAGAUCUUCUCCUCUUCUCUUUCUGAUCGCAGCAACCACCGGCCGUCUCCAUUCCUCUUCUCCUUUCAUUCGUGCCCAGCCGCAGCCCAACCGCCACCCUCUCUUUUCUCCUUCGGAUCGAAAACCGCCGCGCCCAUCCACCGUCGUCCAGAUCUGCAUCACAACCGCCGCCGCUCGUGCUUCACCCUGGUAGUUCGCAGUAACCCAGAUCCGCCGCUUAUAACCGUCGGCCGGUUCGUGAAGCCAGCCGCGCAACCUUCGUUCCAACCGCUGCACUGCCGCGCGAUUCUCCGGCCACGUCUUCUUUAGCCGACCGCUGACCGACCCACACUCUUUUCUCUUCUUUUGGGGUUGUUGACAUCGUUGGUGAGAAGAUGGUGAUGACUGAUGAUGGACAGACAUCAUCCACUUGUCUGUAUCAUAGUUUGUGCAUUAAAGGGACCUUAUAAACUAACUGGUAAGAGUCCUAGAACGAAGAAGAAAAUGGCCAAGAAACUUUGAAGAUAUAGCAGUGGAAGCUUUUUUCUGGACCAAGCCCUUUGUUGAACUAAUGGUGAAUAUUAUUUUGGAUCGCCUGUGAGAGUGAUUUGUAAAUUUUAAGAUAAUUGGCCAUUGCUUUGUCUUAUGAGAAGGCUUGAUGACAUACACACCAUUUAUUGCAAGAACUUGAAGAAGAUGAGAUAUUGGUUGUUGAAGUUGAGAGCAUGUAUGUUGAUCUUUUUAGUUAUGUGGAACUUCAUUUUUUUAUUUUAGAUAUCAAGAAUACAAGUCAAAGUAUAUUACAACACAUAAACAAGCCUUUUUCUCACAAGGAUGAAGAAUGGUUGGGAGACAAAUAUGAUCCAACCAAGGGUUGCACAGUUAUAGUUGUUUGAUUUUGUAGGAAUGUAAUUUCUGGAUGUAACUUCAUACUUAGAACGGAUUGAUUCUUACAGUUUAGUAUUUUUUUUUCUCCAUAUUUAUGUUAUGAAAUUUAUUGGUUGUGGUAUAGAGAGUUAAGUAGUAGUUCCCCAAUAUUUUGGGUUUCUACUUUGAGUUGGCUAGUUUAUGGUCCUAGAUCCUAGUAAAAAUUUUAUCUUUCUUUUGCCUUUAUAAAAACAUGUUUAUAUUUGUAUAGAUACUACUUUAUUUUGUAAUUUGGGAUUGAUAUAGAGUAUAGUUAGAUUUUGGUUUGUUAAGGGAGGAAGAAAAUAAAGAAUUAAAAGCUUGGAACUUCAUGCAUCUUUUUCUCUCACUCUUUUCUUGGUGAAUGUAUUCAAGUCUUGAAGAUUAUGUAGCAGAGUACUACCAGCAGCAGGUAGAAAGGCUUGUUCCGUACUUAACAAACGAUCAGAGUUCACCACAUGGUUGGUUGAAAUAAAAAAGAUUUUAAAGAGUUGAAGAUAACAAUCGAUGAGACAUUGAGCUUUGAGUUAUGUGAGAGUUCUUUUUUAACUGAGUUUAAUAGGUAACUGCUUAGAUUCUUCUGCUAAAGUUCAAAAUGUCCACACCUCCCAAGGAAUAACUCACGGUAACACUCUUAUCUCCAUUUCUAUAUAUGAAUCUUUGACCCUUUUCUUUUCUUCUCUUAUCAUUUAUGUUUUUCCUCUCUUUUGGCCUUAUGGUUUCUGGGUUUUCCUUGGAUUUUUCAUUGCUUUGAUCUUCUGCUUGGUUUGGUUAUUUGGAAUUGUUGGUUGAUCCUACUGUUUUCUGUUGUUUUCUCCUUCCCCUCUUUUCUUUCUGGUUUUAGCAAAUUUGAACUCAGGCUGCUAGUUUUUAUGAUGUGUAUCGGUUGAAGUUUCAAGUUGUUUAUUCUGUUUGGAAAUAAAAAAAAGAUCUAGAGAGACAAAUGUAGUUUAUUAAAGUCAAUAGAGUUAAUUAUUUUAAAACUAGUACAUGUUUGAAUUCAAUAUUAUUACAUGCUUCUUGUUUUUUCUAGUUUUAAGUAGCAUAUGAGAUUUUGUCAAUGUUUGGGUAUAAUAAUCUAGUUUUUAAUGAGAUUUUGUGAAUGAAAGAUUCUGAGUACCCUUUCAUUUUUUGGACUUCCCCAUUGUAGUUCUCACUCACCUUAGUUUCUCCAUUCCCACC